AAAAGGACCCCGGGACCAGGGGCCCAGGCACGAGCCAGGUGAGCAGGACAACUCGGACAACAACACGAUCUUCGUGCAGGGGCUGGGGGAGAACGUCACCAUCGAGUCGGUGGCGGAUUACUUCAAACAGAUCGGCAUCAUCAAG